UGUCAUGGGAGCCGUGCGCGAGCAGGCAUUGCCUGGCCGGAGUCAGCCUCCUGUAUCGCCGGUUCUCACCCCGCGUACGGCUGCCACCCGU
rnacentral:antisense_RNA from 1 species